UCGAAUGGGGAGAUUCAUCGUCAGCGAUUCCGGUACGUGUGCGGCUCGCGAUGUCCGAGACUUCGGUCUCGCGGCACGCGUCCGCAUGUUUUUUAUUGCUGGAAUCGUCGGCGUGCACUUCUCCCCUAGUAGGACGUCGCGACCCGUUGGGUGUCGGUCUACGGCACGGUAGGUAGCCUGUCACGCGUGCGCUUCACGGCGUUACGCGGGGCAGACCUCCGUUCGCCCGACCGGCUGCUCGGCGGUACUCGCAAGGUAUCUGGCCGCAGACAUACGAACUGCGUCCGGCCCGUCGCAAGCGCGGCAAGUGUUUCCCGGCUGUCACGGAUCYAAUGCCGUCACCGGGCCUUGCCAGCUGUUGGUUGACGGUGUCCUCGGACUGGCUAACAAAAUUAUGAUACCGGUCGGCGACGCUACUGCUUUGGGUACUUUCAGGACCCGUCUUGAAACACGGACCAAGGAGUCUAACAUGUGCGCGAGUCAUUGGGAGCUAUUAAGCCUAAAGGCGCAAUGAAAGUGAAGAUCGGCCUCGCGCCGAUCGAGGGAGGAUGGGCCGCGUCACGAUGCGGUCCCGCACUCCCGGGGCGUCUCGUUCUCAUUGCGAGAAGAGGCGCACCCAGAGCGUACACGUUGG
rnacentral:rRNA from 1 species